ACAAUGUUCAACGGCCGCGGUAUCUUGACCGUGUGAAGGUAGCGUAAUCAUUUGUCUCUUAAAUGGAGACCUGUAUGAAUGGCGUAACGAGAGCUUGACUGUCUCACUCUUUUAGUCAAUGAAAUUGAUCUCCCCGUGCAGAAGCGGGGAUAAACACAUAAGACGAAAAGACCCUAUGGAGCUUCAGAAUCUGAAGUAGCCCAAACAAAUUUUAAAAAAUUAAGGACCCUGCUCUCACAUUUCUUCGGUUGGGGCGACCAUGGAGAAAAACAAAACCUCCACGAAAAAAGUACCAAUACUUGUAUGAAUUAAAGGGACACAACUCUAAAUUCCAGAAUGUCUGUUUUUAAAUGAUCCGGCCCAUCUUUGAGCCGAUCAACGAAUCAAGUUACCCUAGGGAUAACAGCGCAAUCCCCUUCUAGAGCCCACAUCGACAAGGGGGUUUACGACCUCGAUGUUGGA
rnacentral:rRNA from 1 species